GCUUCGGUGGCUCAGUUGGUAGAGCGUAGGUCUCAUAUAUUUGAUAUGAGUGGGUUGUUCGCCACGCAAUCCUAAGGUCGUGAGUUCGAGCCUCACCCGGAGCA